rnacentral:rRNA from 1 species
AUGGGAUUUGAGGUAGAGGAUUUCCUGGGAGAGCGAGUAGGAAGGAUGAUGGUGGGGUUCAUGGGGAAGAUGAAGAAGCAGAAGGUGAUCCACGACCCUCACGCGACGCCAAGCCGCCACGCGCCUCCUCCCCUGCCGCUCCGCCUCCAUGCCGGGACAACGUACUGGGCCUUGCCGGACGCCGAGGACCAACGGUUCAAUGCCGCCGCCCACUCCGGCCUCCACCACACCAGCCCGAACCGCUACUCGCGGGCGCGCGGGGAUGGAGAACCGCGACGGGCACGCGGGGGCGGGUCUGGGCAGCGACCCGUCCGGGCUCCCCCCACCCCCACCGCCGCCCUUGGACACCGCGGGGCGGGUCUGGGCAGCGACCCGUCCGGGCUCCCCCCACCCCCACCGCCGCCCUUGGACGCCGCGGGGCGGGUCUGGGCAGCGACCCGGCCGAGGUUCUCCCACCGCCACUCCCGCUAUCUCCCGGGGGGCGCCCCGUACGACGGGGCGCAGGCAGCCAACGGAUCCGCGUACCCGGCCGAGCACGCCUCGCUGAACGGGACCUCUGGCGAGGCGGCGGGGGCCAUGGAGAACGGCGCCGCCGCCGCCGAGAUGGCCGAGCCCAUGGUCCCCGAGCAGUUGUACGAGGAUGCUGUGGCUUCAGUGGAAUAG